UACAGAGGUGGCAAGCGUUGUUCGGAAUUACUGGGCGUAAAGGGCGCGUAGGCGGCCCGUCAAGUCCCGUGUGAAAGCCCCCGGCUCAACCGGGGAACGGCGCGGGAAACUAGCAGGCUUGAGUUCGGGAGAGGGAAGCGGAAUUCCGGGUGUAGCGGUGAAAUGCGCAGAUAUCCGGAGGAACACCGGUGGCGAAGGCGGCUUCCUGGACCGGUAUUGACGCUGAGGCGCGAAAGCUAGGGGAGCAAACGGG
rnacentral:rRNA from 1 species